rnacentral:rRNA from 1 species
GACAGAGGGGGCAAGCGUUGCUCGGAAUUACUGGGCGUAAAGGGCGCGUAGGCGGGAUGGCAAGUCGGUCGUGAAAUCCUUCGGCUCAACCGAAGAACGUCGAUCGAUACUGCUGUUCUUGAGGGUUGCAGAGGAGACUGGAAUUCCCGGUGUAGCGGUGAAAUGCGCAGAUAUCAGGAAGAACACCCGUGGCUAAGGCGGCUCUCUAGUACGGUACUGACGCUGAGACGCGAAAGCGUGGGGAGCGAACAGG